rnacentral:lncRNA from 1 species
GUUGUGAGCCACCAUGUAGUUGCUGGGAAUUGAGCUCAAGACCUGGAAGAGCAGUCAGUGCUCGUAACAGCUGACCUAUCUCUCCAGCCCCGAUUUUUGCUUUUUUGAUCCUCUUUGCUAAGUAUCUUUUUGAUAGCAUCUUGACAUUUAGGUAAAAGGAUAACAUUUGCUAACUGACAGAAUUAGAAGGCUCUGAGUGCUUGCCUGACAUAAGGGCAACCUUGGCUUCAAAACUGAGAACAUCUGGGUGGAGAGGUGCACACCUUUAAUCCUAGCACUCAGGAGCUGAGGCAGUCAGAUCUCUGUGAGUUUGAGGCCAGCCUGGUCUACAAGUGGGUUCCAGGACAGCCAGGGCUACACAAAGAAACAUAGAGAGAAACAACAACAAACCUGAAAGGAGCCAGGUGUGGUAAUGCAUGCCUUUAGUCCUAGCACUUAGGAGGCAGACUGAGGCUUCUGAGUUAAGAGGCCAGCCUGAUCUACUUCGAAAGUACCAGGCUAGCCAAACAUAAAGAUAUGCACACAGAGAGGUGUAGACACACACCCUACCCUCAAACCCAAGCAACAAAUGAGAGAGGGGAAGAGAUGUGGAACAGCUCUUUCAAGAUCCAAAACAGUUUUUUAUUUCUGCUAAAUAAAGUCUAUUUCUAAUAACCCGUAAGAACUUUACCUAGGCUUGCAAGGCAUUUUUCUAUUUCUUCUUUAGUAAAGAACCAUUUUCCUAAGAUUAACACUGGGGAAAUACCACUGGAAGCCUUCCCUGAUUGUGAGUGUGAGUUCAGUACACCAGCAGCUGCUCUAACUUGCAUCUUAAGUGUUUAUGGAAAGUCCAUGUGUUAGGGGUCUGCUCCGUAGCUUGUGGCACUUUUGGAAAGAUGGCCUCAGUGAGAGGCUGUACAUCACUGAGGGUGGGCCUUCACAGGCACUGUAUUUUGGCAGCCCAGCUUUUCAGCACUUAUGAAGAUGGAAAGGCUUAUUUUGGCUCAAGUUUUGUAAAGGCUUUUCCUCUGCUCCCAAAUCCUGGGAUUUCAGUUUUGUGCCACUGUCUUCUGCUAGUGUGCCAAGGGCCAGUUCCUUCCUUAUCUUUCACCUUACUCGAGCUUUUGGAAAUUAGCAAUGAAAACUCAGGUGGCUUUGCAACUUUAAUUUUUCAAACCUCAUUUUUAAUGAUGGUUCUUAAAUACUUUAACCUCCCAUCACCCACCAGAGGUAGUGGGAAAGAAAGGAUAUAGGGGAAGUAGACCUGUUAAUUCGUUCUUUGGAGCAAAUCUUACUUGUGUUGUCAGGAAAUCAGCAGUUCAGUUCACAGGUGAGCAGUGGCAGCUCCAUCCACUUGCAAACACUUUACGGAUACACCAGCAGUCCAGUUCAGUAGCUAGCAAACAUGAAUCAGUAGCAGUGUCACUACCUAGCAGAGACAGCCAGGCCUCAGCUUCUGCAGGAGGGACCAGGAGGAAAGCCAGGAGAGGCUCUUGGCUGUGCCUUUCUCAGGGAAGGGAAGAUGAAGGAAGAUUCCAGACCCGCAAGCAUUGAACAGCUAGCUCUAUAAGCAAGCCUAGCUUGCAUCCAUCACUGUCCCUCGAGAUCUAUUUAUACCUUUCAAACAUCACAUGUUCUCCAUGGGUCUUGCCUCAGCACAUGUGUCUGUCUCAGCUGACAUCUCUCUGGCAAUCAGCCCUAGUCCACAGAAGCAGCAAGAAACUGCAGCACACCACCAGAAGUUUUUUGGUGCGUUUCUCUCUGUGGUGUCCCGACAAAUGCAGCUCAACUACCAGAUGUAAGGUGGACCAAUACAUUCAUGCCCUGAGCAAAGACUCCUUCAUCGCGGAUCGUUUCACGUGCUCGCAGGAGCAGAGCAUCCUUUCCCUGUGUCUGCUUCAGAGAAAUAAAUGUUCCUUCAUGAGCUCUCCUUAACCUUAACCUGUGGCCACGUCAGGAAAACACCGUCCAACACGACUGACUUUCCAAAGUACCCUAAGUUCCCACUUCAUGGCUUCCCAAUGAAGGAAUCAUUUUCACACUUCAUACCUACUAAAAUUUUAUCAACAUUUUCAAUGCAAAAUUAAUAGAAUUGUACAUUUUAAAAAAAGUUACCAUGAUCCUUAACUUCAGAGUACUUUCAAAAUGAUAUAUUAAGACAGCAACACAGACUAAUAUUUUAGAGAGAAUACUACUCAUAAUAAAAUGAUGAAAAUAUGAUAGCAGUUGUAUUAAUUUUAUAUCUUAAAAAAAAAAACACCAACGCUUGAGAUGAGAAAGGUUACUCAGAAAUGUGUGUGUCUCAUUCUGAUCAGGCCGCGCUCGUCCUUUAUGGUGCAGAAUCACAGCUUAGGUCCUUUGGUUGAAAGGAAGCUGCACCUAAGGCAUUUCAAUGGGAAAUUCUUUGAAGAAUGUUUUUAGUGCAUAUCUUAGCUACACAGCAGGCGCCACUGUGACAGUUUAAUACACGCACACAAUGGUUUGAUCAUAUUCCCCUGGUAGUUAUCCUCUUCUCCGCUCCCAUUUCCUCUGACUCCUUGCGCCCAACUAGCCUUCCCCCUACUUUCAUGUUUUUUUCUUUCUUUUAAAAUUUUGUAAUCAUUAGGAUUGUUUGCAGGAACAUGGCCACCUGUACAAAUCAAAAUUCUUUUCCCUGAAUAGCAUUCGGAGGAAAGUGAUAAAAAUGCAUUAAUUUGAAUAUUGCAACUUAGGCAGUAAUGUGUGUCACAAAUGAUAUUAUGAUUCUUUAGUAGCAAACUGUUAGGGAUUAUAUAAUUCUGUUUUUUUGGGGGGAUGUGUAUGCACAUGUGUGCACAUGCAUAAUCACAUGUGUGUAUAUUUCAUGCACACUAGAAAUCUACUUUGGGCUGCUUCAUCCUUCGUUUUGUAACAAUGUCUCUUGUUUGGCCUAAUAUCCUUGGGUAGACUUGCUUGCUGGUCAGGGAACCCCAUGUCUUUGCCUGCUCUGUCCUGGGCUUACAAGUGUGCAUGGCCAUGCCUUUUUUGUUUGUUUGUUUAUAAAGUUUUUAAAAAUUUGUCUGUUUUGGAGGUCCAGCUCAGGUUAACCCAAGCUUUCUCUUUACUUAUUAAUUCUGUUUUAUAAAACAGUUGCUUAUAAAUUGUUUGGGGACUGGAGAGAUGGCUCAGCGGUUAGAGUACUGACUGUUCUUCCAGAGUUCAAUUCCCAGGAACCACAUGGUGGCUCACAACCGUCUGUGAUGGGAUCUGAUGCCCUCAGACAUACCUGUCUGAGGAGAGUGACAGUGUACUCACAUACAAUCAAUCAAUCAAUCAAUCAAUCAGCCAAUCUUCAAAAAAGUUUUGCUUGAUCUGACGUAAAAUUGGUUGUGUCCAGCACUGACUUUUUCCCUGUUUGCUUUUUGUUUUUUCAAAUCAGGGUUUCUUUGUGUAACGUCCCUGGCUGUCCUGGAACUCACAUUAUAGACUAGGCUGGCCUCAAACUCACAGAGAUCCACCUGCCUCUUCCUUCCAAGUGCUGGGAUUACAGGCAUGGACCACAUCACAAUAGGAAUUUUUUGCUUUUUGUUAUCUGCCACAGUUAGAGUUGUACACUUUAGAAACAUCUCUAAAUCCAUUUUAUAGAUUUGUUUGCUGGCACGUUUGAUCCCAUUACAGGGGAAGCUGAGACAGGAAGAUCAUGAAUUUCAGGCCAUCCUGGGCUAUAUAUAGGGAGACUGUCACAGUUUGUUUUUAGUCCUCUACAGCUGUUGGUUGUGUGAUCAGCCUUACAGAUUUGUAUUCUUUGUCCCAUGUGCUACUGGGAGAAUGUUUACAUUGUCUAUUUUUUUUUAAUUGCUUUUUUUAUUUUAUGAAUAUGAGUGGUUUACUUGCAUGUAUUUAACUGAAUCAUGUGUGUGCUUGAUGCCCAUGGAGGGCAAAAGAGAAUGUCAAAUUUUCUGGAACUGGACAAUUGUAAGCUGCUGUGUGGGUGCUGGAAAUUGAACCCAGGUCCUCUGGAAGAGCAGUGUGCACUCUUACCACUGAGCCAUCUCUCAAGUCCUACAUUGUCUCCCUUUCUCUUUUUCUUUCUCUCCCUCCCUUUCCCUCUCUCAUGGUUUUUUGUUGUUGUUUCAUGAUCUCUUAAUGUAGCCCUGACUGUCCUGGAACUCAGUAUGUGGACCAGGCUGGCCUGAGACUUACAGCCAUCCUACUCCUCAGUGCUGAGAGUGAGGUGACUCCUACACUGCCUUUAUAAUCCCCAGAAGUGAAGAAAGGGAAGGAAGCCCAGAGCCAAGACGCCUUCACCUGCAUAUGCCCCUUGAUUUGUAGGUUGGUUUUUUCCUCCCUUGCAGUAUGCACUCCAAAUUGUGUAAAAACCUGUCUUUCUACAAUUAAAAGACAUAGGGAAAUGAAGAGCAAAAGGAAAUGUAAGUUUUUAGUUUGUGUUUAACGUAAAAUGGGAAUAAAAAUAGAAUAGUGAAUGAGUUUGUGUGUAAUGUCAGAUUUAGUUUAUCAUGAUAACCAUCAGUGGUGCACCAGAUGUGUUGACUGUAUUUAGCUUCAUAUUAAAUUAAGCACAGCUAGUGGCCUGCAGAGUCCAUCUGUAUAGCUGACUAGGACUUAUGUUUGUUGCUAAUGCUGUUAGAUUUUCUUGCCAUGAUAUUUGGACUUUAAAUUGUUUGUGCAAAGGUGAGUCUUUGUAUUGGAUUGAAAACUGUAUUUUGUAAAUCAGCUGUGCUAAAUAAAGAGGCUUUUAUUUCAAUAGGC